CGCCGCUUAGGUGGCAUAGGAAAGAAAGUUUGUACAGCUAACUGAGGCUAGUUUGAGCUUCAUCUCUUUCUUCCUUCCGAUAUCUAGAGCUAUGUCUCUACCUAUCUUUUUAGACAGGUAUGAGCUGAUUGAAAAUAAACGUUGUUGCUUGUACUUGAAACUGUACAUUGUGUAGUUGUAAGGUUUAUACAGAGUUGAGGAAGCCGACGAUCAGAGGUUAAAUACGCCUGAUGCCACUGCAAGAGGACAUUAAUGACUAUACAAGUUUUUAAGGGUGUAAAAAAAAAGUGAUCAAAUGUUGAGGUAGUCUAAACGUGACUGUACAAAUGUUGUUAUGUGGAGAGCUAUUAUGUUAGGUGAGGCAAGAGUUCUCCUUUCAUGUAUCGGUAUUUUACUAUUUUUUCCUUUUCCCUUAGAAAGUACAUUUUUCUUAUAUUCUCAUGUUCAAUUGUUGUUAAAGCUGUUUUUCAUUAUUUUU
rnacentral:misc_RNA from 1 species